GACGAACGCUGGCGGCGUGCCUAAUACAUGCAAGUCGAACGAACCGCGACUAUGUGCUUGCACUUGGUCAAGGUGAGUGGCGAACGGGUGAGUAACACGUGGGUAACAACCGCACAAUGUGCGCUAAAAAGGGGGAAACAACUUUAAUACCGGUGAUGAUAAUGGAUCACAUUAGUUACUGAAUGAAAGUUGUGCAAACUGUGGCUAAAAUACCGAUCCGCGGUGCAUUAGCUGGUUGGUAGGGUAACGGCCUACCAAGGGGAUGAUGCAUAGCCGACCUGAGAGGGUGAUCGGCCACAUUGGGACUGAGACACGGCCCAAACUCCUACGGGAGGCAGCAGUAGGGAAUCUUCCGCAAUGGGCGAAAGUCUGACGGAGCAACGCCGCGUGAGUGAAGAAGGUCUUCGGAUCGUAAAGCUCUGUUGUUAGAGAAGAACAGCGGAUAGAGUAACUGUUCAGCGUGUGACGGUAUCUAACCAGAAAGCCACGGCUAACUACGUG
rnacentral:rRNA from 1 species